UGUGAGUGAAGAACGCCUUCGGGUUGUGAAGCUCUUUCGCACGGGAAUAAAACUUACAUUCUAAUAAAGUGUGAGGCUGACGGUACCUUGAUAAGAAGCACCGGCUAACUACGUGCCAGCAGCCGCGGUAAUACGUAGGGUGCGAGCGUUAAUCGGAAUUACUGGGCGUAAAGCGUGCGCAGGCGGUUUUGUAAGUCAGAUGUGAAAUCCCCGAGCUCAACUUGGGAACUGCGUUUGAAACUACAAGACUAGAAUAUGUCAGAGGGGGGUAGAAUUCCACGUGUAGCAGUGAAAUGCGUAUAGAUGUGGAGGAAUACCAAUGGCGAAGGCAGCCCCCUGGGAUAAUAUUGACGCUCAUGCACGAAANCGUGGGGAGCAAACAGGAUUAGAUACCCUGGUAGUCCACGCCCUAAACGAUGUCUACUAGUUGUUGGUGGAGUAAAAUCCAUGACUAACGCAGCUAACGCGUGAAGUAGACCGCCUGGGGAGUACGGUCGCAAGAUUAAAACUCAAAGGAAUUGACGG
rnacentral:rRNA from 1 species